GCACUUGUAGCUCAGCUGGAUAGAGCGUUGCCCUCCGGAGGCAAAGGUCGUUGGUUCGAAUCCAAUCAAGUGCACCA
rnacentral:tRNA from 1 species